CCUACGGGAGGCAGCAGUGAGGAAUAUUGGUCAAUGGUCGGGAGACUGAACCAGCCAAGCCGCGUGAGGGAUGAAGGUACAGAGGAUCGUAAACCUCUUUUGUCAGGGAACAAAGGCGGGGACGUGUCCCCGGAUGAGUGUACCUGAAGAAAAAGCAUCGGCUAACUCCGUGCCAGCAGCCGCGGUAAUACGGGGGAUGCGAGCGUUAUCCGGAUUUAUUGGGUUUAAAGGGUGCGCAGGCGGUCUGUCAAGUCAGCGGUAAAAGCCCGGGGCUCAACCCCGGCCCGCCGUUGAAACUGGCAGUCUCGAGUGGGAGAGAAGUAUGCGGAAUGCGCGGUGUAGCGGUGAAAUGCAUAGAUAUCGCGCAGAACUCCGAUUGCGAAGGCAGCAUGCCGGCUCCACACUGACGCUGAGGCACGAAAGCGUGGGUAUCGAACAGGAUUAGAUACCCGAGUAGUC
rnacentral:rRNA from 1 species